rnacentral:ncRNA from 2 species
CAGCGUGCUCCGGGGUCGGUGAAAAUCCGAACCGGCGGUUACAGUCCGCGACCCGGUCGAAGCCAUCGACCGGUUGACCCGGUGAAAUUCCGGGACCGACGGUUAAAGUCCGGAUGGGAGGAAGCGCGCGA